GCUCUGGUUGCGCAAUGGUUAAGCAUUUGGCUGCUAAUCAAAAGGCUGGUGGUUUGAACCCACCCAGCU
rnacentral:tRNA from 1 species